AAAGUUGAAAAGAACUUUGAAGAGAGAGUUCAAGAGUACGUGAAACCGUUCAGGGGUAAACCUGAGAAACCCAAAAGAUCGAAUGAGGAGAUUCAUCGUCAGCUCAUUUUGUAUAUAUAUAAGUUGUGAUGCGAGUUACUACUUGUAGUAUUGCUUGCACAUUCUUAUAUAUUUAUUAGCAAUAUGUUGUCGGCGUGCACUUCUCCUCUAGUAGGACGUCGCGACCCGCUGUGUGUUGGUCUACGGCCUAAGUGAUAGUCUUUGAUAUUUUUUCAAAAAAAUUAUAUUGAAGAUCCUUAGUGUCUCCUGACCGGCUACACGGCGGUAUUCGUACGGUAUUAAGCCGCAUAUAUUUUUAUAUGCGUCCAUAUCCGUCACAAGCGGGGCCAAUUUUUACUAGUAGUACGGACUUUGUGCCGUCGCUGGUAUUGGUCAGCUGUUGGUUGUACGGUAUUCUAGGACUGGCUUGAAAAUUAUUAUUACCGGUCAGCGAUGCUACUGCUUUGGGUACUUUCAGGACCCGUCUUGAAACACGGACCAAGGAGUCUAACAUGUACGCAAGUCAUUGGGAUUAUUUUUAAAUUAAACCUAAAGGCGUAAUGAAAGUAAAGAUCGUCCUUGCGUCGAUCGAGGGAGGAUGAGUUGUAAUGUAAUAAAUACAGCUCCGCACUCCUGGGGCGUCUCAUUCUUAUUACAAGAAG
rnacentral:rRNA from 1 species